CAGAAAACCAUUACUUCCACAUUCAGAGAGAUCAAGGAAAAUAUGGAAUCACGAUGGAAGAAUUCAUUUCAAAACCUUGAUUUAAAAGCCUGGUGUGAUGAAAAUUGAUGACCUUGUUAUCAACACAGAAAUGAAGAUUGCAAAUGGAUGCAAUGCUGCUGAGAUUUUCCCAGGAGUCUUCAACAACUGCAAAGUUGCAGUGAAACGAGUUGCCAAACAUGUUUCCAAAACUGAAAUGGAAAUGGCUAAUUUCCUGAGUUCAAAAAAAUUACAAACAGAGCACCUUCUGCAAACCAUUUCAGUGUUGGAAGACUCUUACUUUGCCUAUUUUGUCUCACCUCUUUGUGAAUAUAGUCUGAUGGAGCUGAUUGAAAACAAGGAUUUUCCAGAAAGAAAAAGCCUGAUAGAGAAUUGAAGACUAGAGAUCUGCCAGGAGUUGCUGCAAGGACUUCAGGAACUGCAUUCAUAUGGAAUUUUGCACAGAGACCUGAAGCCUGAAAAUAUUUUGUUUGAUAUCAACAAUAAACUGUACAUCGCAGACUUUGGAGUAAGCAGAAAACUGGAUCUGGCACAAACCACACUGCUCUCUCAAAUGGCUGGAUCUUUUUCUUGGUCAAGUUAUGAAGAUGUUGGAGGCAUGCAAUACAAGUACAAGAAAGAAUCAGAUAUCCAGGUAGCAGGAUGCUUGGUGCAUUACAUCCUGACGGACGGGCAACACCCCUAUCAGACAACUACACCCUACUCCAAGGAUCCAGUUGGACUAUCUCAAAAUGUCAGAAUGGGUAACUUCGCUCUUCAAUGUGAAGAAAGAUGGAUAA